rnacentral:rRNA from 1 species
UACGUAGGGCGCAAGCGUUGUCCGGAAUUAUUGGGCGUAAAGAGCUCGUAGGUGGCGUGUCGCGUCUGCCGUGAAAGCCCAUGGCUUAACUGUGGGUCUGCGGUGGAUACGGGCAGGCUGGAGGCUGGUAGGGGCAAGCAGAAUUCCUGGUGUAGCGGUGAAAUGCGCAGAGAUGGGGGAGAACACUCGUGGCGAAGGCGGCCAGCUAGACCAGUUCUGACACUGAGGCGCGACAGCGUGGGGAGCAAACAGG